GACGAACGCUGGCGGCGUGCCUAAUACAUGCAAGUUGAGCGAUGAAGCUUGGUGCUUGCACCAAUUUGAAGAGCAGCGAACGGGUGAGUAACGCGUGGGGAAUCUGCCUUUGAGCGGGGGACAACAUUUGGAAACGAAUGCUAAUACCGCAUAAUAACUUUAAACAUAAGUUUUAAGUUUGAAAGAUGCAAUUGCAUCACUCAAAGAUGAUCCCGCGUUGUAUUAGCUAGUUGGUGAGGUAAAGGCUCACCAAGGCGAUGAUGCAUAGCCGACCUGAGAGGGUGAUCGGCCACAUUGGGACUGAGACACGGCCCAAACUCCUACGGGAGGCAGCAGUAGGGAAUCUUCGGCAAUGGACGAAAGUCUGACCGAGCAACGCCGCGUGAGUGAAGAAGGUUGUCGGAUCGUAAAACUCUGUUGGUAGAGAAGAACGUUGGUGAGAGUGGAAAGCUCAUCAAGUGACGGUAACUACACAGAAAGGGACGGCUAACUACGUG
rnacentral:rRNA from 1 species